AAGGGGGGUUUGGAUCAUGGGCUCAGAUUGAACGCUGGCGGCAUGCCUAACACAUGCAAGUCGAACGGUAACAGGCCGUAUGGGAUCCCUUCGGGGUGACCUUGGCGCUGACGAGUGGCGGACGGGUGAGUAAUACUUAGGAAUCUGCCCAAUAGUGGGGGACAACUCGAGGAAACUCGAGCUAAUACCGCAUACGCCCUACGGGGGAAAGCGGAGGAUCUUCGGACCUCGCGCUAUUGGAUGAGCCUAAGUCGGAUUAGCUUGUUGGUAGGGUAAAGGCCUACCAAGGCGACGAUCCGUAGCUGGCCUGAGAGGACGAUCAGCCACACUGGGACCGAGACACGGCCCAGACUCCUACGGGAGGCAGCAGUUGGGGAAUAUUGGACAAUGGGCGCAAGCCUGAUCCAGCAAUGCCGCGUGUGUGAAGAAGGCCUGCGGG
rnacentral:rRNA from 1 species